ACUCCUACGGGAGGCAGCAGUGGGGAAUAUUGCACAAUGGGGGAAACCCUGAUGCAGCCAUGCCGCGUGUGUGAAGAAGGCCUUCGGGUUGUAAAGCACUUUCAGUAGGGAGGAAGGUAGUGUAGUACACCUGCAUUAUUUGACGUUACCUACAGAAGAAGCACCGGCUAACUCCGUGCCAGCAGCCGCGGUAAUACGGAGGGUGCGAGCGUUAAUCGGAAUUACUGGGCGUAAAGCGCAUGCAGGCGGCCUGUUAAGUCAGAUGUGAAAGCCCGGGGCUUAACCUCGGAAUUGCAUUUGAAAC
rnacentral:rRNA from 1 species